AGUGAACGCUGGCGGUAGGCCUAACACAUGCAAGUCGAACGGCAGCACAGUAAGAGCUUGCUCUUACGGGUGGCGAGUGGCGGACGGGUGAGGAAUACAUCGGAAUCUACUUUUUCGUGGGGGAUAACGUAGGGAAACUUACGCUAAUACCGCAUACGACCUACGGGUGAAAGCAGGGGAUCUUCGGACCUUGCGCGAUUGAAUGAGCCGAUGUCGGAUUAGCUAGUUGGCGGGGUAAAGGCCCACCAAGGCGACGAUCCGUAGCUGGUCUGAGAGGAUGAAUCGCCCAACGGGAACCUGGACACGGUCCCGACUCCUACGGGAGGCAGGAGUGGGGAAAAUUGGAAAAUGGGGGCAAGCCUGAACCAGCCAUACCGCGGUGGGGAAGAAGGCCUUGGGGGUGUAAAGCCCCUUUGUUGGGAAAAAAAAGACGGAGGUUUAAAACCCCGCUUUUUGACGGGAACCAAAAAAAAAGACCCGGGUAACUUUGGG
rnacentral:rRNA from 1 species